rnacentral:rRNA from 1 species
UACGUAGGCAGCAAGCGUUGUUCGGAGUUACUGGGCGUAAAGCGUGCGCAGGCGGCUUUGCAAGACAGAUGUGAAAUCCCCGGGCUCAACCUGGGAAUUGCGAUGGAGACUGCAAGGCUAGAAUCUGGCAGAGGGGGGUAGAAUUCCACGUGUAGCAGUGAAAUGCGUAGAGAUGUGGAGGAACACCGAUGGCGAAGGCAGCCCCCUGGGUCAAGAUUGACGCUCAUGCACGAAAGCGUGGGGAGCAAACAGG